AAGCUAUAGUGGGGAAAAUAUUUAUUUGAUCCCCUGCUGAUUUUGUAAGUUUGCCCACUUUCAUAGAAAUGAAGGGUCUGCCAUUUUUAUGGUAGGUUUAUUUUAAUGU